rnacentral:rRNA from 1 species
AGAGUUUGAUCAUGGCUCAGAUUGAACGCUGGCGGUAUGCUUAACACAUGCAAGUCGAACGGAAACGAUGGUAGCUUGCUACCAGGCGUCAAGUGGCGGACGGGUGAGUAACGCGUAGGAAUCUGCCCAGUAGUGGGGGACAACCAGGGGAAACCCUGGCUAAUACCGCAUAAUCUCUACGGAGAAAAAGAGGGCCUCUUCUUAAAGCUUUCGCUAUUGGAUGAGCCUGCGUGAGAUUAGCUAGUUGGUGAGGUAAAGGCUCACCAAGGCGACGAUCUCUAGCUGGUCUGAGAGGACGAUCAGCCACACUGGGACUGAGACACGGCCCAGACUCCUACGGGAGGCAGCAGUGGGGAAUAUUGGACAAUGGGCGCAAGCCUGAUCCAGCAAUACCGCGUGUGUGAAGAAGGCCCUAGGGUUGUAAAGCACUUUCAGCAGUGAAGAAAUGCUUAAGGUUAAUAACCUUGAGUCUUGACGUUACCUACAGAAGAAGCACCGGCAAACUCCGUGCCAGCAGCCGCGGUAAUACGGAGGGUGCGAGCGUUAAUCGGAAUUACUGGGCGUAAAGCGUCCGUAGGCGGGAUGCCAAGUCUGAUGUGAAAUCCUAUGGCUUAACCAUAGAACUGCAUUGGAAACUGGUUACCUAGAGUAUGGGAGGGGGAGAUGGAAUUAGUGGUGUAGGGGUAAAAUCCGUAGAUAUCACUAGGAAUACCGAAAGCGAAGGCGAUCUCCUGGAACAAUACUGACGCUAAGGCGUGAAAGCGUGGGGAGCAAACGGGAUUAGAUACCCCGGUAGUCCACGCCCUAAACGAUGUUCACUAGUCGUCGGAAUGCUAGUCAUUUCGGUGAUGCACUUAACAGAUUAAGUGAACCGCCUGGGGAGUACGGUCGCAAGAUUAAAACUCAAAGGAAUAGACGGGGACCCGCACAAGUGGUGGAGCAUGUGGUUUAAUUCGAAAAUACGCGAAGAACCUUACCUAGCCUUGACAUUGAUUGAACACUUUAGAGAUAGAGUGGUGCCCUUCGGGGAACAUGAAAACAGGUGCUGCACGGCUGUCGUCAGCUCGUGUCGUGAGAUGUUGGGUUAAGUCCCGCAACGAGCGCAACCCCUAUCCUUAUUUGCCAGCGCGUUAUGGCGGGAACUCUAAGGAGACUGCCUUCGCAAGAAGGAGGAAGGUGAGGACGACGUCAAGUCAUCAUGGCCCUUACGGGAUGGGCUACACACGUGCUACAAUGGCAGGUACAGAGGGCAGCGAUACCGCGAGGUUGAGCGAAUCCCACAAAGCUUGUCGUAGUCCGGAUUGGAGUCUGCAACUCGACUCCAUGAAGUCGGAAUCGCUAGUAAUCGUAGAUCAGAAUGCUACGGUGAAUACGUUCCCGGGCCUUGUACACACCGCCCGUCACACCAUGGGAGUGGGAUGCAAAAGAAGUGGCUAGUCUAACCUUCGGGAGGACGGUCACCACUUUGUGUUUCAUGACUGGGGUGAAGUCGUAACAAGGUAACC